UAGAUCAGUGAUGACUACUGGUGGCAUUUGAGUCAUACUUGAUGAAUAUGUGUCUGGAAUUCAUGAUAGAUGUCAAG